rnacentral:misc_RNA from 1 species
AACGUGAAGCGAAAGAAGAAAGGGAUUCAGCCUUCGUGGAACCACAAGAGCGCCUGCACAGCGAGGUCAAUCAGCACUCCAACUGCAGCUGCCAUUCUAUGCGUGUGCGAAGAUGUUUCGGCGAUGCCUGCUUACACGGCUCGUGCGUCGCUCGCUGGUCCUCUUUUCGGAUGAAAAAGAAGCACUUUUCGAGCGGUAUAGCGAGAUUGAAAACGCCCACUCGCGACGCAUUGAAGCACUGAAGGACGCGGGUCUCUUCAAUGAUGAGUGGAUUGCCACGGAGAAGGUGCAUGGCGCCAACUUCGGCAUCUACUCAACAGAGCAUGGGAAGACUAUUCAGUACGCGAAGCGGAGCGGCAUCAUGCCACCGUACGAGCACUUUUUCGGCUACCACAUCCUCAUACCUGAUCUCGUGAGGUAUGCCAAGCAAGGGCGAGAACUGCUUACGGAACAGCUCGGCAUGUCGCCCAGCACCGUAAUCAUCAACGGUGAGCUCUUUGGUGGCAAGUACGACCAUCCGAGCGUGCCGAAGCGGCGGCAGAACGUGAUGGUGGCCGGCAGGCCACGCACCAUCACGGCUGUGCAGAACAAUGCCUUUCCUCAGUACUGCCCAGACCUGCAUUUCUACGCCUUUGACAUCAAGUACCGGAGGACCGAAGAGGAGGAGUACUGCACCAUGACAUACGACCAAGCCUUGGCCAUCUUCGAGAAAAUUUCGGGCCUUCUCUACGCGAAGGCUAUCAUUCGAGGGCCGCUGAGCAAGGUGGCCGCGUUCGACGUGGAAAACUUCGUCACGACAAUUCCGCCGCUGGUGGGCAUGGGCGACUACCCGCUCAAGGGGAACUGGGCGGAGGGCCUCGUUGUAAAACACUGCCGUCGCGGCGAGCCCGGCUUCGACGCAAAGGGCCUCACCAUCAUGAAGUUCAAGUGCACUGCCUUCCAGGAAAUCUCGACCGAUCGCCGCCAGGGACCGCGCGUAGACGCGCUGGAGGAGGUUCGGCGGCAGUCCAUAAAAGUCUCCGGCGUACAGCUGCCGGACAUGGAGAGCGUCAUUCGCGACCCCGAGGUGCGCCAAGCGACACAUCACCUGCUCGACCACGUGUGUGAGAAUCGCCUCCAGAGUGUCUUGUCCAAGAUCGGUACAGGCCCGUUCGAGACGCAGUCCAUGACCCCCACAGAGCUCUCCACGCUGCUAGCAAAGGAUGCGCUGAAGGACUUCUUGAAGGAGGCGGAUGCAAAGAUCGUCAACACGCCGCUACUCGUGCGCCGCGAGAUGGCCCGCUACGUUCUUUUUGAGGCGCGCAGGUACGUAGCCAGUAGAUGGAAGGACGUCGUUGGGCAGCAAAGGGAGGCAGACGGGGAGUCGUGACCGCCGCAGUCGCUCACUCACUGUCUCUCUCCCUCUUGCCCUUUCUGCGUUUGUGUGAAUGGAGCCCUUGCUUCACCCAUAUGCACAUCCCCAUCUUCCCUGGCGGCGCGUGUGCUAGGCGCUGAGCUGCCUUUGCGCCAUGCUGCUGAAGAAGGGCGUUGUGAGAGCGACCAGCGAAACCCGUGCUCUCAUGCCUCUGCAAGAACAACGCCACAG